AGAGUUUGAUCCUGGCUCAGGACGAACGCUGGCGGCGUGCCUAAUACAUGCAAGUAGAACGCUGAAGAGAGGAGCUUGCUCUUCUUGGAUGAGUUGCGAACGGGUGAGUAACGCGUAGGUAACCUGCCUGGUAGCGGGGGAUAACUAUUGGAAACGAUAGCUAAUACCGCAUAAGAGUAGAUGUUGCAUGACAUUUGCUUAAAAGGUGCAAUUGCAUCACUACCAGAUGGACCUGCGUUGUAUUAGCUAGUUGGUGAGGUAACGGCUCACCAAGGCGACGAUACAUAGCCGACCUGAGAGGGUGAUCGGCCACACUGGGACUGAGACACGGCCCAGACUCCUACGGGAGGCAGCAGUAGGGAAUCUUCGGCAAUGGACGGAAGUCUGACCGAGCAACGCCGCGUGAGUGAAGAAGGUUUUCGGAUCGUAAAGCUCUGUUGUAAGAGAAGAACGGGUGUGAGAGUGGAAAGUUCACACUGUGACGGUAUCUUACCAGAAAGGGACGGCUAACUACGUGCCAGCAGCCGCGGUAAUACGUAGGUCCCGAGCGUUGUCCGGAUUUAUUGGGCGUAAAGCGAGCGCAGGCGGUUAGAUAAGUCUGAAGUUAAAGGCUGUGGCUUAACCAUAGUACGCUUUGGAAACUGUUUAACUUGAGUGCAGAAGGGGAGAGUGGAAUUCCAUGUGUAGCGGUGAAAUGCGUAGAUAUAUGGAGGAACACCGGUGGCGAAAGCGGCUCUCUGGUCUGUAACUGACGCUGAGGCUCGAAAGCGUGGGGAGCAAACAGGAUUAGAUACCCUGGUAGUCCACGCCGUAAACGAUGAGUGCUAGGUGUUAGGCCCUUUCCGGGGUUUAGUGCCGCAGCUAACGCAUUAAGCACUCCGCCUGGGGAGUACGACCGCAAGGUUGAAACUCAAAGGAAUUGACGGG
rnacentral:rRNA from 1 species